ensembl:snoRNA
ACCCUCCGGUUCCCUUUCCCAUUGGAUCUGCACACUGGUCUUGGUGGUCAUAAAAGGAGGAAAAGGAACACUGAAGCUGGCCUCCCAGUGCUUAUAGUA